rnacentral:rRNA from 1 species
AUCGCAUGAUCAGCUUUAAAAGGCGGCGUAAGCUGUCGCUAUGGGAUGGCCCCGCGGUGCAUUAGCUAGUUGGUAAGGUAACGGCUUACCAAGGCGAUGAUGCAUAGCCGAGUUGAGAGACUGAUCGGCCACAUUGGGACUGAGACACGGCCCAAACUCCUACGGGAGGCAGCAGUAGGGAAUCUUCCACAAUGGACGCAAGUCUGAUGGAGCAACGCCGCGUGAGUGAAGAAGGUUUUCGGAUCGUAAAGCUCUGUUGUUGGUGAAGAAGGAUAGAGGUAGUANCUGGCCUUUAUUUGACNGUAAUCAACCAGAAA